AGCAUUGCAUAGUGGCAGUAUCAUAGCCAAUGAUGUUGAUCUGAGGCAUGAUAACUGGUAAUUGGAAAAAAAUGAAAGAGAUAGAAAUAGGAAUCUGAAUUUCCAGAGUUGUAUAGAAGUGCA
rnacentral:snRNA from 1 species